rnacentral:rRNA from 1 species
CACGCCGUAAACGAUGGGUACUAGGUGUAGGAGGUAUCGACCCCUUCUGUGCCGGAGUUAACACAAUAAGUACCCCGCCUGGGGAGUACGGCCGCAAGGUUAAAACUCAAAGGAAUUGACGGGGGCCCGCACAAGCGGUGGAGCAUGUGGUUUAAUUCGACGCAACGCGAAGAACCUUACCAGGUCUUGACAUCCCCUGACAACAUCAGAGAUGAUGUAUUUUAUCUUCGGAUAGACAGGGAGACAGGUGG